UCUACAACUUGAUGGAUUUUUUUUCUACCAGGUAAGGAUAGAGACGUUAAACUCUCUGAGAAAAUUCCAACUGCAUGAACACUUCCCAAAGAAGCUGGAAGCUCCUGAAGAGAAAGCUGUGUGCGAAUAUGAACAAGUUUCUUUCUACCCAUGCCCUUGGCUCAACAUUUGGGAUGUCAUUGAACUUCAGAGGGACUUCUCUUCUUUGGUUUUAUCAUGAAUCCUGGAAUGAAAGCCAGCUGCCGGUAAGUCUUUAUGCCAGCUCAGCAAAAUCAUCAGUCUUCAAUAGCUCCAUUCAACAGUAUUCCUUUUGCUAGGAAAAAUAUUGAGGAACCAAUAUUGAGAUUAAAGGUUGUCCUUGGGGCCAAACAUCUAGUAUCUGGUUGGAACACAUAAAGAUUUAUUUUGUAUUUUUAUUUAUGAAAUGUAUGUGUCCCUGCAUGAAUUUAUGUGCACCGUGUGUGUACAAGAGCCAGAGGAUGUCAAAUACUCUAUAACUGGAAUUAGAGAUAGUUGUGACGUGCCUGAUAUGGG
rnacentral:lncRNA from 1 species